rnacentral:ncRNA from 1 species
UUGUCGUCAGUUCGUGCCGUGAGGUGUUCCGUUAAGUCGGGAAACGAACGCAACCCCUAUUGCCAGUUACAAGUGUCUGGCGAAACUGCCCCCGCCUAAGUUCAGAAUCUAGAAGCUAGAAAAUAGAAUUCAGCAUAGAUUAUGAUUUUGGGCGGGGGAGGAAGGAGGGGAUGACGUCAAAUCAGCAUGGCCCUUUGAUACCCUGGGCUACACACGUGCUACAAUGGGAAGUACAAUGGGUUGCCAAGCCGUAAGGCGGAGCUAAUCCCAUCAAAACUUCCCCCAGUUCAGAUUGAGGUCUGAAACUCGACCUCAUGAAGUUGGAAUUGCUAGUAAUCGCGGAACAGCAUGCCGCGGUGAAUACGUUCUCGAGUCUUGUACUCACAAUAAAAGCGCCAAGCAGCUUAGUUUUCUAAGCGGUUCAAAUCCGCU